rnacentral:rRNA from 1 species
AGGACGAACGCUGGCGGCGUGCUUAACACAUGCAAGUCGAGCGGUAAGGCCCUUUCGGGGGUACACGAGCGGCGAACGGGUGAGUAACACGUGAGUAAUCUGCCCUUCACUUCGGGAUAACCACCGGAAACGGUGGCUAAUACCGGAUAUGACCUGCUACCGCAUGGUGGUGGGUGGAAAGUUCUGGCGGUGAAGGAUGUGCUCGCGGCCUAUCAGCUUGUUGGUGAGGUAAUGGCUCACCAAGGCUUCGACGGGUAGCCGGCCUGAGAGGGUGACCGGCCACACUGGGACUGAGACACGGCCCAGACUCCUACGGGAGGCAGCAGUGGGGAAUUAGUGACAAGUGGCGAAGCCUGAUCCAGCAA